GUCUGUGGCGUAACCGGUUAGUGUAUUCGGCUGUUAACCGAAAGGUUCAAACCCACCAGAGACG